CCUUGAAUCCCAACAAGAGAAGAAUCUAGAUUCUGGGGUCCAGCAACACAAUCACAAUAAUAUUUCUAAGAAAUUUGAUACGGGAUGCCUUCUAUAUUAUUUGCCAACAAAAGAGACAUCAGCCCUGACAAAGAAAUAUCUACUACCUGGAAAGAAAAAGGAAUUCAGUUCAUAUAAGGAGGAAUGUCACAGGAUUUUGAGAAACCUGAAAAGAAACAACAUGGAUCUAAAAAGGAGAAGGGAUUACAAAAAGAACCACUGCACAGUGGCAAGGAAGCACAAAGUUAACCUGCAUAGUGCCAAUAAAGCACAUGGUCCAAGAGACCAACUAAUCCCAGUGGGACUAAUGACAUUCUGCGCCAAGACAAGAGGACUUGAACUUACUUGAGUUUUGAGAUUGCGAUUGUUUGAUAUACGUUAGACACAGAACUUCUUCAUCCUACAUUCUACAAAACAUCUCACUUUGGCUGCCAUCCUGGCUCCCCUAUGCCUGAGAGAAAAGCCAAGAAGAAAAGAUUCAUCUCAAGACCAGCAGUGGAGGGAGGCUGGGAGGAAACAGAAAAGAUGGAGCAAAGCUGCAGCCCCAGCAGGAAUUUGAAAAAGCUCUCUUCGGUGCUGCCUUGAGGACAACAUUAGCAGGCAAGAGACACUGCAAGAGCUGCCACUCAAACCCCCAAGAUCCCCUUCCCACCCCCAAGUCCUCACACCAAGAGCCAAGAGCCCUGCUGCUUCCUAGAACCCUCAUUUAUAACCAUGGAGACACCACUUCUUCGAGGUCUCUCUGGUUGGACAAACAUGACCUCAUUCCAGGUCAGAGGCCAGUGUUCUGGAUGCCAGGAGUCACCAGAAACAAGAGGCAAGUAUCUUUCCUGAUGGAGCCAUAAGCCCUUUGGCAUCCUUUCAUUGUCCUCCCAAUCAAAGUGUGGGGCUGAGACCUGGAACCUAAAUGGGUUUUCAAAACUUUCCUUUCUUAGAAGAAAAAGGAG